AUACGUAGGGAGCAAGCGUUGUCCGGAAUUACUGGGCGUAAAGGGUGCGUAGGCGGCAUGGCAAGUCAGAUGUGAAAUCCCCGGGCUUAACUCGGGGGGUGCAUUUGAAACUGCUGUGCUUGAGUGCAGGAGAGGAAAGCGGAAUUCCUAGUGUAGCGGUGAAAUGCGUAGAUAUUAGGAGGAACACCAGUGGCGAAGGCGGCUUUCUGGACUGUAACUGACGCUGAGGCACGAAAGCGUGGGGAGCAAACAGGAUUAGAUACCCUGGUAGUCCACGCUGUAAACGAUGGAUACUAGGUGUGGGGGAGAUACAACCUCCGUGCCGGAGCAAACGCAAUAAGUAUCCCGCCUGGGGAGUACGGCCGCAAGGCUGAA
rnacentral:rRNA from 1 species